UAGGGAAUCUUCCACAAUGGACGCAAGUCUGAUGGAGCAACGCCGCGUGAGUGAAGAAGGUUUUCGGAUCGUAAAGCUCUGUUGUUGGUGAAGAAGGAUAGAGGCAGUAACUGGUCUUUAUUUGACGGUAAUCAACCAGAAAGUCACGGCUAACUACGUGCCAGCAGCCGCGGUAAUACGUAGGUGGCAAGCGUUGUCCGGAUUUAUUGGGCGUAAAGCGAGCGCAGGCGGAAUGAUAAGUCUGAUGUGAAAGCCCACGGCUCAACCGUGGAACUGCAUCGGAAACUGUCAAUCUUGAGUGCAGAAGAGGAGAGUGGAAUUCCAUGUGUAGCGGUGGAAUGCAUAGAUAUAUGGAAGAACACCAGUGGCGAAGGCGGCUCUCUGGUCUGCAACUGACGCUGAGGCUCGAAAGCAUGGGUAGCGAACAGG
rnacentral:rRNA from 1 species